CCUACGGGGCGCAGCAGUGGGGAAUAUUGCACAAUGGGCGCAAGCCUGAUGCAGCCAUGCCGCGUGUAUGAAGAAGGCCUUCGGGUUGUAAAGUACUUUCAGCGAGGAGGAAGGCAUUAAGGUUAAUAACCUUGGUGAUUGACGUUACUCGCAGAAGAAGCACCGGCUAACUCCGUGCCAGCGGCCGCGGUAAUACGGAGGGUGCAAGCGUUAAUCGGAAUUACUGGGCGUAAAGUGCACGCAGGCGGUCUGUCAAGUCGGAUGUGAAAUCCCCGGGCUCAACCUGGGAACUGCAUUCGAAACUGGCAGGCUAGAGUCUUGUAGAGGGGGGUAGAAUUCCAGGUGUAGCGGUGAAAUGCGUAGAGAUCUGGAGGAAUACCGGUGGCGAAGGCGGCCCCCUGGACAAAGACUGACGCUCAGGUGCGAAAGCGUGGGGAGCAAACAGGAUUAGAUACCCCGGUAG
rnacentral:rRNA from 1 species